rnacentral:lncRNA from 10 species
GGCCGCGGCCCUUGUGCCAGGCUGCCUGCACUUGGAGCUCAUCCAUCCCUGGUAGGAGCACCCGGACUCCACUCCAGAUGGUGGGAAGCCUGGCCAGUGGAGCGAGUUACCAGCUUCCGCCGAGUGAGAAAAACAACAUUGAAGGAAAUCAGCUGAAGAAAAUUGAGAUGAAAGCCAGUCCACGCCUCAGCAUCCUGAGGAAAUGUUCUUCCUUGAUGCUCUGAGCUCUCUAAGAAGUUACCACAAAACCAAACCCAUCAGAAGUUUGCAGGACGUCCUUGUUUAGAGCUGGGAAAUAAACCACGAAACAGCGCAAAGGAGAGUCCAGGCCUGCCAAUGCUUCCGCGAACUCCUCGCCCCGACCUCAUCCUUCUCCAGCUCCUACCUGCAGGCCUCAGGCCUCCUGACCUCCAGGCUCCUUACCCUCCCGCUGGCCUCUGCUCUACACUCAUCUUUGUGCCCUGCUUCCAAUCAUGCCAGGCCUCGGGGUCCCUGUCUCUAACUUCACCAUGAGACUCAGGUGCUUCUCUACACUCCACCCUCUCCAACACUGUUUGGAAUCUCAGGCUUGGUCCCAAUCCUAUGGGCUAACUUUGAAAAGACCGCUGUUCAUAAGGAGAGAGAAAGGAGGAAGAGAUGAGAAAGGAAGACAGAGAAAGAAACUCUAUGAUCACGGUUUUUCCAAAAUUCAUGGUUAAAUUAGAACUUACUAUGUGCAAAUAUAGAAGCACGGGUCCACAGAGUUCCAGAGAAUGAAUGCUGACGACUAAGCACCAGCCUCCACUCCCUGCCCCAUAGUGAGUAUCCCUCCUCUGUGUGCUCAUGCUGUGAAUCCCCCCCAUUCUACCACUUCUCCCCUCAUCACUGGCUUGCUGUAGGAUCAGAAGUUCCUUAAGAACAAGAACCUUCUCCCAGUGUAUCCCCAGCACCUAAUACAGAAGGUAAUAAGGAGGAGGCAUCUGCUAAACGCUUGUUGAAGGAGUGAAAUUGAGAGACCAGGAAGGGCCUGCAGGCAUUGUGGUGAGCCUGCCUGUUGUCCACGUGGCUGCAGCAAGCAAACAUGGGUUUUCCUUGGAAGGACUGUGGGCCAUCAACCCAUUAAUUGCCGAGUUGCUUCUAUCAGGGCAAGGCUGUGGAAUCCUGUUAUCCUAGACAAUGAGGUACAGGGUGCAAGCAGAUCUGUGUGCUGCUGUCUUCCGGUAAACGGACCAAGUUCUCACUUCCCAUCCUCCUCCCCAGUCUCACCCACCCGUGCUCCCAAGAGAGCAAUUCAUCAUGUCAGUGUCUGGUGUUUUCUUGAAGGCCUGUGCUAAAUAAAGUGGAUUGUUUAUAAAGUGGGAUUAUUCUCCAAGCACAGAAGCAGAUUCCUGGGCAAGUUGUUGCGCUGAGUGUAAUUAAUGAAAUGCUUUUUGGACCAAAUUGUCCAAUGGAAUGAGAUCACCCACUGCCAGACUGGGUCAUUCAGACCCAAAAUAGAUGGUCUGUAUUCAAUCCUAGAUUUAAAACACACACACACACACACACACACACACACACACGUUGCUUAACGUCCUUCGCAUCAGGAAACUACCAGAAUACAGCAGACUGCGAUUGUUAGAAGUGUAGAGUCAAGGUACCAUUUCUAAUUUUCUCUUUUUUUCUAUAGUCAACACUUAUUCAGUGAGCCGAGAUCAUGCCACUGCACUCAAGCCUGGGGGACAGAGCGAGACUCCGUCUCAAAAAAAAAAAAAAAAAAAAAAAACAAAAAAACAAGAAAAUUUUCUAUGCAUCCAGGUUAACAUCUUUGAAGCAGCAUUUUCUGUCAUCCACUGGAGCACUCAUUUAGACAGGACUGCAUAACUGCAAAGCACCCUGGGGCCUGGAGCAAUGGUGAGCAUGAGGCAUUGUAACUUAGAUGUUGCUUCAGUGAGAAAAUGCUUCUCCUUCCUUCCAGAAGGAACCAACAGAAAAUGAGAGGAGAAAGAAAAGGGCUGAGAAAAGUAGCUUUGACCACUUAGCAACAGUAUUUCAGAAUCAUUACUCUAGAGAAAACAAGGAGAACUCAAAACUUUCAUAGAUUAUGUCCCACGCAAAGAGUUUGCAGUGACCUUCAGAAACAUUUUCAGUGACUUGGAGACCUUCCUGCAAUGCUGUGCAUAAAUCUGUCAGCAUUGCAAUCCAUGCAGCCUUAUCAUCUGAAUUCAAAUCCUCCCUGGACAUUCUGCAGACUCACCACUUAAAUUAGACAACCAGCUAGAAAACACUGUUGCAACACGAAAUCCAUUCCAAAACUCCACAAAGUGUUGCUCAUGGGGGAGAUCCAUCUGUGAGUCAAAAAGAGAUGAGCUCAAAGGAUUUGGGGGUUGCCUCUGUCUUCCCAGAAUGUAGCCGUUGCCUGGCAGACAGCAUUACAACAAGGGCUGUGCCUGCACUUGGGCCAAAGAGCUGUCGCUCCUGCUUUGAAAUCUUGGCAUGACCUGGAGGUUUCCCUCACUUUCUCCCUCCAUAACCCAAACCAUGGCCAAAACCCACUUUCUCGU